rnacentral:rRNA from 1 species
UACGGGAGGCAGCAGUGGGGAAUAUUGCACAAUGGGCGCAAGCCUGAUGCAGCCAUGCCGCGUGUAUGAAGAAGGCCUUCGGGUUGUAAAGUACUUUCAGUCGUGAGGAAGGUGUUAAGGUUAAUAACCUUAGCAAUUGACGUUAGCGACAGAAGAAGCACCGGCUAACUCCGUGCCAGCAGCCGCGGUAAUACGGAGGGUGCGAGCGUUAAUCGGAAUUACUGGGCGUAAAGGGCACGCAGGCGGUUAAUUAAGUUGGAUGUGAAAUCCCCGGGCUUAACCUGGGAAUGGCAUUCAAGACUGGUUAGCUAGAGUCUUGUAGAGGGGGUAGAAUUCCAUGUGUAGCGGUGAAAUGCGUAGAGAUGUGGAGGAAUACCGGUGGCGAAGGCGGCCCCUGGCAAAGACUGACGCUCAUGUGCGAAAGCUGGGGAGCAAACAGGGAUUAGAUACC